GGCUCCUCUAUCCAUGGGAUUUCCCAGGCAAGCACACUGGCGUGGGCUGCCAUUUCCUUUCAGUAUUUACUAUUGAAAAGAUCCACCUAUAAGUGGGCCCACGCAGUUCAAAUCUGUACUGUUCAAGGGUCAGCUGUACUGUAGAGCUGUGAGAGAAACCAAGGAUCAUUGGCCAGGGAGUCGGGGGUCUAAAAACCUGGAUGAGUGAUGGUGUCAUUCAUAGAGCUAGGGAAGAUGUAGGGUAGGAGAGAAAAAUGGACGGCUAUGGGGGAGACGUAGACUGGCUCUAAUUUGAGCAGGCAGUGGCGUUUGAGACAAUCAUUUAGUUAAUUGGGUAUUUGAUGGGUUACUUUACGUUGGUAAAUGUAAGAACUUGGGAAAUGAUAGCAUAAGGUAAGAGUCUAGAGAUCUAUAUUUUGCUGCAAAAUGCUGGGAAGAACCCAAAUUGCGUGCCCAAGAUAUUUGGGAAACUGAAUUGCUUACACAAAAGGCCCUAUGGGAACUGUGUCAUUUUAUUUAGAAGCUAAUUGACUAUCAUUUUCUCACUAAACCCCUACACAUCCGGUGAGGUAAGGCUCUCUGAAGAUGUCUGCUGAAGCAUGUGUUUUACUUCCUGUCAUGGUUUCCUACGGUGUAGAGGAAAUUAGCAUCUGGCUUCUUUAAGAAAGUUGUUCAUAUUAUUCAUCUAGAGACCGUGAUUCUGAAGGAAGGAACUACAGGGAAGAUGAAGCCUUAAAGCAGUAUGAGUCGUUUUUAGAAAUAAUUUUAUAGCUAUUCAAGAAAAAAGAAAUAAUACUAGAGGAAAUAAGGAAACUUAGUAUUUCAAAACACAGAGUUCAAGUUAGCAUAAAAGUAAGACAUUUGGAAGCAUUUUACUUUCAGGAGAGCAGGAGUUAAAGAGCCAGGUGACAGCAUAAUCAAAAUAGCUGAGUAUAAGCUGAAACAGAGAACGUAGGCCACUGAAUAAUGAGAGGAUGCCCAUAGCUUCUUUCUCAAGGGACCGCUGAGGCUGGGAGGGACACAGGUUCCUGAGCAUCCUUGUCACUGAGGGGUGUGUGUGUGUGUGUGCGCGCGUGCUGGGAAGGACAGUUUCCUGAGCAUCCUUGUCAGUGAGCUGUGGGUGUGUAUGCCCGCAUGCUGGGAAGGACACAGGUUCCUGAGCAUCCUUGUCACUGAGCUGUGUGUGUGUGUGUGCUGGGAGGGAUACAGGUUCCUGAGCAUCCUUGUCACGGAGGUGUGUGUGUGUGUGUGCAUGUGCUGGGAGGGACACAGGUUCCUGAGCAUCCUUGUUGCUGAGGGGUGUGUGUGUGUGUGUGUGUGUGUGUGUGUGCGUGUGUACAUGCUGGGCAGGACAUAGGUUCCUGAGCAUCCUUGUCACUGAGGUGUGUGUGUGUGUGUGUGUGUGCACGCAUGUGCUGGGAGGGACACAGGUUCCUGAGCAUCCUUGUUGCUGAGGGGUAUGUGUGUGUGCUAGUGUGUGAGAUGAG
ensembl:lncRNA